UAGUUCGGAUUGUAGGCUGCAACUCGCCUACAUGAAGCUGGAAUUGCUAGUAAUCACAGGUCAGCAUACUGUGGUGAAUACGUUCCCGGGCCUUGUACACACCGCCCGUCACACCAUGAGAGUUGAGAAUACCCGAAGUCCAUGUCAAAGUGGCCGAAGGUAGGCUUGAUGAUUGGGGUGAAGUCGUAACAAGGUAAC
rnacentral:rRNA from 1 species